UACAGAGGUCCCGAGCGUUGUUCGGAUUCAUUGGGCGUAAAGGGUGCGUAGGCGGUUUGUCGCGUCUGCUGUGAAAACUCGGGGCUUAACCCCGGGCCUGCAGUGGGUACGGGCAGACUGGAGUGUGGUAGGGGAGACUGGAAUUCCUGGUGUAGCGGUGAAAUGCGCAGAUAUCAGGAGGAACACCGGUGGCGAAGGCGGGUCUCUGGGCCACUACUGACGCUGAGAAGCGAAAGCAUGGGGAGCGAACAGG
rnacentral:rRNA from 1 species